GCGUAUAUCACAUUGAAAGCACCGGUUCUCGUCCGAUCAACGAAGUUAAGCAACGUGCAACCUAACGGAUGCUUAGAUAGGUGACCAUUUGGGAAACCUAUGUACUGUAAGCG
rnacentral:rRNA from 1 species